UAAUGAUACCUGAGUGGGGGUCACUUGCUAGAAAUUUAUCAUUUACAAUAUUAUAAUCGUUUUUAGUAUUUUAAAACAGAUUAUUAAAACAGUAAAGUUUCAUGAGUUAAUUAUUGUUUUUUUUAAAAUAAAAAAAAUAGCCCCAAAUUAAAAUAACAAAACCCCAAUUUUUUCUCUCCCCUCUUUUCUUCAGUCAGUUAUCUUCUUUGUUGAUUCUUCUUCUGUUUCCUCUUCAUUGCUCAUUUUUCCAAUCCUUCAUCAUCAGCUUUUGGUAGAGAUUUGAAGUCAAUAGUAGAUUAUUGUAAAUUAGUGUGCUAUUUUUACCAAAUUUGGAAGACAAACAAUUUUUUUUGAAGCUGAUAAUUAGGCUCUGCUUGUAGCACUUUACUGGUUGAAAUAGGGAUAGGAGCAACCCAAGCAAAGAAAAUGGCUGAAGAAAGGAGAAGAGGGAAAAAAAAUUGGGGUAUUGUUAUUUUAAUUUGGGGCUUUUGUUUUAAACAAUAAUCAACACAUUAAACUUAGUUACUGAUUUAAUAAUCUAUUUCAAAUUACUAAAAAAGAUUUUAAUACAGUAAAUGAUAAAUUUGUAGCAAGUAGACCCCACUCAAGCAUCAUUAAUGUUAUUUAUGUUUUUUUAAUCAAAGUUGGAGUCAAUCUAACUAGUGGUACGAGUUGGUGUCAAAAAUUAUUACACCCCUCAAAGUUGGCGUUAAUGGUUGUAAUUUUGCCUUUUUUUUUCUAUUGUGUGGACACGGAACAAAUUAACAAAUUACGUGAAAAUACAUGUAUAUUAUAUUAUUCAUAGUUGA